GGGCCCAGCUGGAUCUUGCUUCUCCAGCUGUAAGGGAUGUGAGCGUUCGUCAGCGAGGAGUACCACAGUGCUCCAUUAUGUGUGCCACUUAGUCCAGACCCUGGGAGCACCGACUGUGACCAAAGAAAUGAAGUUUGCUUCUGAAACACCACCUGGGGAAUGGUGUCCAUGAUUUCAGCCACAGCUUUCUGGGACAGCACAGGAGAUCUCAGCUCUUCCCACUGCUCCCCCCCGCACCACCUUACCACCCCAACAUACCCCAUUUCCGACUCCUUGGCUUAUGCUGCGGCCUCUGCACCGAAACCAGAGGUGAGAGAGAGUCUGAACAAAAUCUCUUGCACUGAGGCAAGCACACAGGGAUUGGUGAAGAAACCUAAACUGGGGACACACCCAUGCACUGUUCUCAUGUGAUUUCAAAGAAAACUAAAAAGGGAGAUAAAAAAGGUGUCUGAAUCACUUCUAAGGAGUGCUUUCUUGCUGACUUCCAGUGCCUGAGCCGCAGAGAGACAGCAGAGAAACCAAGCUGCAUGCAACUCAAAGGAGGGAAGUCAGCUUUUUGUCUGCAACACCGGAGAGCUCACUUCUUCAAAGGGCAAGCGGAGAAUUUGAAAGGGACCAAGUAAGCUUUUUACUGCCUGACUUCCCGGGCGCUACAGUUCUUUGCUGGGUUUUGUUGGAAACAGAGGUAAUGCAGGAGUGGAUGUCUCUCUUAAAGGGACCUUCCCCGGGGACUCGGGAUAACCAUGAGCUGAUGUUCAUUUCCCUUCUGAUUCAUCAUUUGGCUUUUGUUCAAAGUGUAAAGACGGGCUUCUUGUUGCUAGAAAGCAGUAUCUCUUUAGCUAGAUUGGUUUAGGUAUAGGAUGACGGGUACCCUCAGUUGGACAUAGUUGUAUCAGCAUCCUAAUCUCCAGCUGCUGUAUAGCUCUUUUCAUCAGUAGAUCUUAAAGGGCUGGACUAUGCAAGUCAGUGUUCAUAUCCCCAUUUUAAGGCUGAGGAAACUGAGGCAUGCAAAGGGAAAGUGUCUUGCCCAGGGCCAUCCAGCCGGCCAGUGGCAGAGAUCAGAUAAGAACCGAUGUCUCUGUCCACUAGUCAGUAUUGUUCUUCCCUUCCAGGAAGGAGAACAAACCAAUAUACAGGUGUAAGCCCAUCCAGAUGAGGAGUUGUACUAUAACUAUGUGGGUAAAAAAUCAUGCCUCUAGCUGCUCUAGUCAUUACCAGCAAAACAGAUUGCUAUGGCUGCAGGUGGGCUGAUGGCGUUUUGGAGGUAGGCAGGACGGGGACCAUCUUUUCCUGCAGCUUUGUAUAUAGCACAACUAGGUCCAUGCUCGAUUCUCACGUAGGUGCUUCCAUAAGAGUAAAGUUUAACAAUAGCAACGCCUGCCUUGGCUAUUGUGCCUUGCUCCCGGGGUCGAGAAUGCACUUUCCGACAGUGCCGGUAGCAUCGUUUCUGGUGCAGAGAUGGGGAAACUGAGGCGGGUCGCGCACCGCCCAGGUAAAGCUCCGUCUGUGGGCUCUCCCCAGGCCGAUGUGUUUGGGUCCUGCUGCGCCAGACCCACAUGUAUCUGGCUGCCCUGCAUCUCGGUGAGCUUUAACAACCAUUUCUGGCUCCAGCCUCUCUGACACGCUUUCUUGGCUCUGAAUCUUUGUCUACUGGUUCACAGGCAGCCGCCCUGCAUCACCCUUUGCUCCCCAGUGUUUUAUGCACACUCGUUCUCCUAGCUCCAACAUCCCAGGCGCUGUUUUUUUUAUAAUUAAAUUUUUCUUUUAUAAUCAAAUUGAGCACUGAACCCUUCAGGAGCUCAGCAUGACCUGGAGACCUCACAGGGGUUUUUAAGCACAAUUACUUGUUAGUUUGCAGAAGGAAGGAAACAUCCAGACAGAAGUGAUAAACCCCUCAUGCGGUUCCUUGCCUUAUUUUCCUCGCUAGUAGGGAACCGUGUCGGGGUUGGUCAGAGUCCUCUGGGAUGCCCAGGAACUUGUUGUUGGCAGCUCAGGUCUCCUCUUCUCAACCAUGAAAUCUCCCUCUUAAGCUUCCUUUGUCCUCGGCUACUUUCACAAUGAAGCCCAACCCUUUUGCUACAAAAGCAUGCCCCUGAACCUCCCUCCUUCCCACAGAUUCUCCUACCUUCAUAAACCCAAGCCUUUGUUCCUCCUGAAAGUCUUCUUUCAUUCCCUGCUUUGUCACCUCUGUCCCGUCCGUCCCUGGGUUUUCCAUUUUCACUUCCCUCUUCUUGCAGAGAAGUUGGAGGAACUCGUUUUUUACAGUUCAGACAACCCAUUGUUUUGAUGCGUUUCCACCCAAAGAGGCGAUCAUUAAUGCUUAACAACACCGAAAUGGUUCCUGGUAUGGCUGGUCUGUAGAGGCCCUGUGGAUUUGUCGGACUAUCUCCGCACCGAGACACUCUCUGACGUGGCAGUUUCCUAACCUUGGCCAAAUUUCCUGAGUUGUCACGAAGAGCGUGCAGAGGCAAAGUAACGUGCGCAGAAGCAAACUCCAGGUCUGUGGCGGGGCCAGUGUCCUCCGUCUUAGUCCAGCGCCCUGUGUCAUGGCACCCGGUGGUUCCCGGACAUCUCUGUUCUAAGGAUCUCAAAGAGUUUUCCAGGCACUAAUUUGCACUUGUAACAAGCUGGAGGUGGACCUGGGCCUUUGACAUCCCAGGGAAAUGGGUAUGCAGAGACUUGCCACGUGCACUGUGGAACUAGGAACAGAGCUUCAGGCUC